rnacentral:tRNA from 1 species
GUUCGCUUAGAUUAACUGGAUAAAUCAAUUUCCUCCUAAGAAAUAGAUAAGGGUUCGAGUCCCUUAGCGAAUA